AGGACGAACGCUGGCGGCGUGCCUAACACAUGCAAGUCGAACGGGACCAGGGGCAACUCUGGUUCAGUGGCGGACGGGUGCGUAACACGUGAGGAACAUGACCUUCGGCGGGGGAUAGCCGGCCCAACGGCCGGGUAAUACCGCGUACGACCACUUGGGGACAUCCCUGAGUGGUGAAAGCAGCAAUGCGCCGAUGGAGUGCCUCGCGGCCUAUCAGCUAGUUGGUGAGGUAACGGCUCACCGAGGCGACGACGGGUAGC
rnacentral:rRNA from 1 species